AAAUUGAAGAGUUUGAUCAUGGCUCAGAUUGAACGCUGGCGGCAGGCCUAACACAUGCAAGUCGAACGGUAACAGGAAGCAGCUUGCUGUUUCGCUGACGAGUGGCGGACGGGUGAGUAAUGUCUGGGAAACUGCCUGAUGGAGGGGGAUAACUACUGGAAACGGUGGCUAAUACCGCAUAACGUCGCAAGACCAAAGAGGGGGACCUUCGGGCCUCUUGCCAUCAGAUGUGCCCAGAUGGGAUUAGCUAGUUGGUGAGGUAACGGCUCACCAAGGCGACGAUCCCUAGCUGGUCUGAGAGGAUGACCAGCCACACUGGAACUGAGACACGGUCCAGACUCCUACGGGAGGCAGCAGUGGGGAAUAUUGCACAAUGGGCGCAAGCCUGAUGCAGCCAUGCCGCGUGUAUGAAGAAGGCCUUCGGGUUGUAAAGUACUUUCAGCGGGGAGGAAGGUGUUGUGGUUAAUAACCGCAGCAAUUGACGUUACCCGCAGAAGAAGCACC
rnacentral:rRNA from 1 species